AUAAGCCAGAUCUAGGGACUAGCCUGGGGCCUUCCUUUCCCGAGGAAGGAAGGGCACCAAACUAGUGGGGUGUACAGAGUGGUUAUAUACUGUCUUGGAACAAAGAGCAUGCAUCCCAUAUGACAGGAAUGUCCCUUUUGCAGUAGUCACGAGAUUGCUUUACCAACGCAGCAGAUAAGUGAACACAGCAGGUCAGCAGUCACAAGGUGAAAAGGUGAAUUGAAAAAAGCACAAGGAAGAGCAGUAAAGUGACCCAGAGACAGUGGGCCAUUGGACACAUGGGCCUGUCAAUCUGAAAGUCAAGGCUGAGGAAGAAUAUUAUCCAAAUCUGUAAAAUCAUGAUGAUCACUCCAUCCUCUUUGAAGCCAUGCUUCCCGCCAAAAAACCCUGGGCUUCUGCAUGCAGAGGGGGAGUCCUUCCCAGUGCCAGGAGAAAGAGCACAGGAGCCCCAAAUCACCACCCUUUCGUGCUCCUGGCCCUGAGGCUGCAUCCUUGGCGUUAGGAGUCUUGGGGAAUAAAACCGCAGAGUUCUGGAAGCUGGAAGUCCAUGAUCAAGGUGCUGGCAGGACCAUUCUCCUUCCAAAGGCUCUAAGGGAGAGUCCUCCUUUCCUCUUCCGGCUUCUGGUGGUUCCUGACAAUCCUUGGUGUUCCUUG
rnacentral:lncRNA from 1 species